rnacentral:rRNA from 1 species
UACGUAGGGACCAAGCGUUGUUCGGAUUUACUGGGCGUAAAGGGCGCGUAGGCGGCACUGUUAGUCAGGCGUGAAAUUCCUGGGCUCAACCUGGGGACUGCGCUUGAUACGGCAGAGCUUGAGGAUGGAAGAGGGUCGCGGAAUUCCCAGUGUAGAGGUGAAAUUCGUAGAUAUUGGGAAGAACACCGGUGGCGAAGGCGGCGACCUGGUCCAUUACUGACGCUGAGCGCGACAGCGUGGGGAGCAAACAGG